UGCAGUCGAACGGUAGAGGGGGCAACCCCUUGAGAGUGGCGAACGGGUGAGUAAUAUAUCGGAACGUGCCCAGUCGUGGGGGAUAACGUAGCGUAAGUUACGCUAAUACCGCAUACGAUCUAAGGAUGAAAGCGGGGGAUCGCAAGACCUCGCGCGACUGGAGCGGCCGAUAUCAGAUUAGGUAGUUGGUAGGGUAAAGGCCUACCAAGCCAACGAUCUGUAGCUGGUCUGAGAGGACGACCAGCCACACUGGAACUGAGACACGGUCCAGACUCCUACGGGAGGCAGCAGUGGGGAAUUUUGGACAAUGGGCGAAAGCCUGAUCCAGCCAUUCCGCGUGCAGGAUGAAGGCCCUCGGGUUGUAAACUGCUUUUGUACAGAACGAAAAGGUUUCUAUUAAUACUAGGAGCUCAUGACGGUACUGUAAGAAUAAGCACCGGCUAACUACGUGCCAGCAGCCGCGGUAAUACGUAGGGUGCAAGCGUUAAUCGGAAUUACUGGGCGUAAAGCGUGCGCAGGCGGUUAUAUAAGUCAGAUGUGAAAUCCCCGGGCUCAACCUGGGAACUGCAUUUGAGACUGUAUAGCUAGAGUACGGUAGAGGGGGAUGGAAUUCCGCGUGUAGCAGUGAAAUGCGUAGAUAUGCGGAGGAACACCGAUGGCGAAGGCAAUCCCCUGGACCUGUACUGACGCUCAUGCACGAAAGCGUGGGGAGCAAACAGGAUUAGAUACCCUGGUAGUCCACGCCCUAGACGAUGUCAACUGGUUGUUGGGUCUUUACUGACUCAGUAACGAAGCUAACGCGUGAAGUUGACCGCCUGGGGAGUACGGCCGCAAGGU
rnacentral:rRNA from 1 species